rnacentral:rRNA from 1 species
GGAAUCCUCCACAAUGGACGCAAGUCUGAUGGAGCAACGCCGCGUGAGUGAAGAAGGGUUUCGGCUCGUAAAACACUGUUGUAAGAGAAGAAUGACAUUGAGAGUAACUGUUCAAUGUGUGACGGUAUCUUACCAGAAAGGAACGGCUAAAUAACGUGCCAG